GACGGAACCACCCAAACGUUUAUUCGGAAUUACUGGGCUUAAAGGGUGCGUAGGCUGUGCGGAAAGUUGGGUGUGAAAUACCUCAGCUUAACUGGAGGAACUGCGCUCAAAACUACCGUGCUGGAGGAGACAGAGGUAAGCGGAACUUAGGGUGGAGCGGUGAAAUGCGUUGAUAUCCUAAGGAACACCGGUGGCGAAAGCGGCUUACUGGGUCUUUUCUGACGCUGAGGCACGAAAGCUAGGGUAGCGAAACGGGG
rnacentral:rRNA from 1 species